rnacentral:rRNA from 1 species
AGAUUAAGUUAUUAAGGGCGCACGGUGGAUGCCUUGGCACUAGAAGCCGAUGAAGGACGUUACUAACGACGAUAUGCUUUGGGGAGCUGUAAGUAAGCUUUGAUCCAGAGAUUUCCGAAUGGGGAAACCCAGCAUGAGUUAUGUCAUGUUAUCGAUAUGUGAAUACAUAGCAUAUCAGAAGGCACACCCGGAGAACUGAAACAUCUUAGUACCCGGAGGAAGAGAAAGAAAAUUCGAUCCCCUUAGUAGCGGCGAGCGAAACGGGAAGAGCCCAAACCAACAAGCUUGCUUGUUGGGGUUGUAGGACACUCUAUACGGAGUUACAAAGGACGACAUUAGACGAAUCAUCUGGAAAGAUGAAUCAAAGAAGGUAAUAA